rnacentral:tRNA from 5 species
GGAGGAUUCGCCUAGUGGCCUAGGGCGCACGCUUGGAAAGCGUGUUGGGGGCAACCCCUCACGAGUUCGAAUCUCGUAUCCUCCGCC